rnacentral:misc_RNA from 1 species
AAAAUACGAAAAGUAAUAUGAAUUGCAGAAACGAAUCAUCAACUAUUUGAACGCACAUUGCGCUCUUUGGGUUAAAAAACCAAGAGCAUGUCUGCCUCAGCAUCGGGUUAAACCUCACCCAAUACACCCUGUGUGUAAACGGUGGAUCUGGUCGUCCCAGCGCUUCACAGCUCUGGGUCGUCUGAAGACCAGAGGCUAAUACAAGGACCCGUUUACGGGCCGCAACUGGGUAGGAAUAGUCCGCUAUUCAUGCUAGUUGUUGGCUUGGGACCAUGUGUUCGGCCCUCAACCAGGAGUCUUAACCCUUUUUUCUCGAUCUGAGCUCAGGCAAGAACACCCGCUGAACUUAAGC